ACCCGCUGAACUUAAGCAUAUCAAUAAGCGGAGGAAAAGAAACUAACAAGGAUUCCCCUAGUAACGGCGAGUGAAGCGGGAUGAGCUCAAAUUUGAAAUCUGGCUGGUUUGACCAGUCCGAGUUGUAGUUUAAAGAGGCGUUUUCGGUGGCAACCUGGGUACAAAUCCUUUGGAACAGGGUAUCAUAGAGGGUGAGAAUCCCGUCUCUGACUCAGUGCAUGCUACUAUGUGAUACGUCUUCAAAGAGUCGAGUUGUUUGGGAAUGCAGCUCAAAAUGGGUGGUAAAUCUCAUCUAAGGCUAAAUACCGGCGAGAGACCGAUAGCGAACAAGUACCGUGAGGGAAAGAUGAAAAGAACUUUGAAAAGAGAGUUAAACAGUGCGUGAAAUUGUUGAAAGGGAAACGUUUGACACCAGUUUUGCGGGUGGGAAAUCAGUCGCGUUGCAGUGGGGAGUGGCAAGGGUUCGGACCGCAAGGCUGACCUUUGUCCCAUCUUUGCUGCGGGUGAUGCACUUUUUCAUUUGCAGGUCAACAUCAGUUUCCUCCGCUGGACAAAACCCUAAGAGAAUGUAGCAGCUUUGGCUGUGUUAUAGCUCUGGGGCGAUACAGUGGCGGGGACUGAGGUUUCGCAGUGUGUGCUCUCGGGCAAGGCUGACUGGGUGCUAUGGGAUGGUUCAGUGUACAAUGCACGCAUUUUGCGCUGGGUCUGUUCUGUACUCGCCUAUCUCAGCUCUUCCACGCUUAGGAUGUUGACAUAAUGGUUUU
rnacentral:rRNA from 1 species